rnacentral:tmRNA from 1 species
GGGGGUGCCAAGGUUUCGACAGGGUACUAGAAGGGUUGAGUGCGUGCAGAGGUUGAUCGAAGGCCUCUUAAAAAUCGAUCACAUUAUAAUCGACAACGAUUAUGCAAUGGCUGCUUAAUUAGAUUCG